rnacentral:rRNA from 1 species
CCCGCACAAGCAGCGGAGCGUGUGGUUUAAUUCGAUGUUACACGAAGAACUUACCAGGGUUUGACAUGCAAGUGGUAGGAAGCCGAAAGGUGACCGACCCUUCGGGAGCUUGCACAGGUGCUGCAUGGCUGUCGUCAGCUCGUGUCGUGAGAUGUUCGGUUAAGUCCGCUAACGAGCGCAACCCUCGCUGUGUGUUAUAUGUGUCACACGGGACUGCCGGUCUUAAGCCGGAGGAAGGUGGGGAUGAUGUCAAGUCAGCAUGGCCUUUAUAUCCUGGGCUACACACACGCUACAAUGGUCAGUACAACAGGUUGCGAAACCGCGAGGUGGAGCCAAUCCUUAAAGCUGGCCUCAGUUCAGAUUGUAGGCUGCAACUCGCCUGCAUGAAGAUGGAGUUGCUAGUAACCGCAGGUCAGCUAUACUGCGGUGAAUACGUUCCCGGGCCUU